rnacentral:rRNA from 1 species
AUGUGGGUAUCUACCCUUUGGCCUGGAAUAACACGAGGAAACUUGUGCUAAUACCGGAUAAGUCUUUACGGAGAAAGCUUUAUGCACCAUUGGAUGAGCCCGCACUUGAUUAGUUUGUUGGUAGGGUAAUGGCCUACCAAGACUAUGAUCAAUAGCUGAUUUGAGAGGAUGAUCAGCCACAUUGGGACUGAGACACGGCCCAAACUCCUACGGGAGGCAGCAGUGGGGAAUCUUGCACAAUGGAGGAAACUCUGAUGCAGCGAUGCCGCGUGAGUGAAGAAGGCCUUUGGGUUGUAAAGCUCUUUCGUCGGGGAAGAAAAUGACUGUACCCGAAUAAGAAGGUCCGGCU